CGGGUUUUACGAUCCGAAGGGUUGGAUUUGGGCGCUGCCGCUUUGUUGCCGGCUCGCCUUAAAGGUCUUAGUGGGAAUAGUUGGACCCAUAGCUUGGCGUAAUAAGUUUCGCUGGGCUCGUGGCCGACGACAGUCCGCUGAUAACACCCCAUAUUUUAUGAUCUGACCUCAAAUCAGGUAGGGCUACCCGCUGAACUUAA
rnacentral:misc_RNA from 1 species